UUUCCGUAGGUGAACCUGCGGAAGGAUCAUUAACGUAUCUACCCCGGGCGGCGAAGGCUCGUGCCCAGCUCCAGCCCGCAAAGGCCGUGCAGCGGGUGCGUCCCGAGCCCCCGAACCUUCACAAACCCACCGUGCACCAUUGUCGGCGGAGGGGCCCCUGGCGAGAGCCGCGGCCCCGAUGCCGGUUCACAAACGCUAAAGUCUCGAGAAUGUUGCGGUCCUAGCGCCGCCUAAAAACAUGUAACAACUUUCAACAACGGAUCUCUUGGUUCUGGCAUCGAUGAAGAACGCAGC
rnacentral:misc_RNA from 1 species